rnacentral:lncRNA from 1 species
UUCUUCUUCAUGUCAUCUUCCAUCCCAGCUGUCUCUAAAAUGCUUUGCUUGGAGGUUGAAUGUGAAGCAAGCCCGUCACUUCUCCUGGCUCCAGCUUCCUCAUCAACCAAGGACAGGCUGACACUCAGUGUACUCAGCUUGAUGGGGCUUGAGUCCUUCUGUCCUCAUAAGCUGAAGAAAUUGGACAGAAACACCAAGUUUCUGAUUGCUCUGUCUGAUAUUGAGGUCUAAGGGACAGUGGGACAGGGGACUGAAUUAACAGUGAAAUUCAACAGUUUUUGAUAAACCAGCAGACCUGCAGCAAGAAGAAAGCAGUUGUAAAUGCUGGCUAAAUAAAGUAAUCAAAGAACUGGG